rnacentral:piRNA from 1 species
GGGGUUAGUCAGCGUACCUCCUACAAAGAU